AGAGAACAUCCCUGGUCAUCCCUACUGACUCUGCUCUGGCAGACUCACUAAACAGAGAACAUCCCUGGUCAUCCCUACUGACUCUGCUCUGGCAGACUCACUAAACAGAGAACAUCCCUGGUCAUCCCUACUGACUCUGCUCUGGCAGACUCACUAAACAGAGAACAUCCCUGGUCAUCCCUACUGACUCUGCUCUGGCAGACUCAAUAAACAUAAAUUAUUUGUUUGUAAAUGCUGUCUGACUAUCCGGCUAUCCGUACAUUUCAAAAAACAAGAAAAUUGUGCCGUCUGGUUUGCUUAGUAUAAGAACAUUUUAAUUAUUCAAACUUAUAUUUGAACAAUUACCUCAAAGUUGUAUCUUUCCAUAAUUCCUCUCCGUGUAAAUAGAUUCCCACUAAUAUGAACUAAUUGGCGCACAAGGACAAUGUUGUUCGAGAACCAGAUACUCCCUCGCGAGAGAGAAGCCUGUUGAGAUACUCCCUCUUUGCGCAUGUGUUCCAAGUGGCUGUCAGGUAAAGUAGACGAUAUCAGACAACAGGAUUCUUAGGGAAAGUGGGUGUUGAACGUUUUCUUCACUUUUAUAGAUCACGUCAAAUGUUAUCCAGGAACUUUCUGAAGUAAUAUUAGGCUACAUGAGACGUUUAUUUGUUCUAACUUAUUUACGUUUUGAUAUUUAAAUAGAUGUUUGAUUGCUCUGGUCUAGGGGCGCAUCAGUCGCAGCCUUGAGAAUCGAUUUUUUUUCUCAGCAACUCCCUAGUCAUUAUCUGAACACUACAACAAAAGUAGUUCAACUGUACUGUACCCUACAACAUGUCAUGCCAUACAAAUAAACAAUAGCUUCCACAAUGGAUCGGGAAAACACCGGGGCAGAGCGGAACUGAGAGAGGAGAAGAGGAACAUGGAGAUGUGAUUUCAUUACGUAAGAACCAUGGGGACGACUGAAAACAACAAAACCUCUGGAUUACAUGGCUAAAAUAGGCAAGCAGCGCCAGCUAACAUCUUUUGCUCGAGUCCGGGGACAUCCCUAAUCGUUGCUCUCUCAGUGGGAAGGGCUUAUCAUCUGGGGCACCUCAACAACAUCAUGAUGCUG